rnacentral:rRNA from 1 species
AGGACGAACGCUGGCGGCGUGCUUAACACAUGCAAGUCAAGGGGGCCCAGCAAUGGGCAACCGGCGAACGGGUGCGUAACACGUGAGCAACCUACCGAACUGUGGGGGAUAGCCGGCCUAACGGCCGAGUAAUACCGCAUACGCUCUCAGAGAGGCAUUUUCUUUGAGAGGAAACCUACGGGACAGAUCGAGAGGCUCGCGGCCUAUCAGCUAGUUGGCGAGUACGGCUCACCAAGGCAACGACGGGUA